rnacentral:lncRNA from 1 species
AAUACUCUUUUCAAUCUCUCGAAUCCCAAACCUUUAAUUGAAGAACACCAUUUUCUCAUUGAAAUCAUUCACCAACCCCUAAAAUACUCACUUUAGGUCAUAAAAUAACAUAUUUUCUCUCAAAGUGUAGAAUUUGAUACCCCACAAACUGUCACACAAUGAAUACUCGUCAAGAAAAAGAUACUCUGCUUAUUCUUUCUCAAAUUUCUCACACCAAGAAUGUGAACAAAAACUUGUGUAAUCUAGAUUGAGACUUGGAAUGAAAGCAACGAAGAAUAAA